AAAAAAAACUCAUUUAUUAAUUAUGUAACCUCCAUGAACACUACAAAUAACUUCCUCCAACACAUCAACUAUACUAAAUAACUUCCUCCUACACCACUAUAUAUGAUAACUGUAUAUUUCAAAAAUAAAAAUAUUUCUUUCUUUCUCUCUCUUUCUUUCUCUCUCCACGCCAAAGUUAGGAGAAAAAUUCAUAACCAUACCAACCCCACAUUUGCCUCCUUCCU
rnacentral:lncRNA from 1 species